AGCCUCAAGCAAGGGACUUUGA
rnacentral:miRNA from 1 species